rnacentral:lncRNA from 1 species
GAAGGCAGCUCUUUGGUUUGGCUGUUGCGUAAUCGUGUAACCGGUGACAAAAUUUGUUUGUACCGAUACGCAGUGUCCCGAACAGCAGUUUUGGUCUGCUGUAAAUAAAAGAAAAUUGAGGGCUUGGUUUCAAUUGUAGCAACUUAUAAAAGACCCCAACCCCUCUUUUCUCUUGUUCCCAGCUGAGAACACUCCAACUUCAUUUCACUCCCUCUCUCUCUCUAGAAACUCUCUC